rnacentral:rRNA from 1 species
UACGUAGGUGGCAAGCGUUGUCCGGAUUUAUUGGGCGUAAAGCGCGCGCAGGCGGUUCUUUAAGUCUGAUGUGAAAGCCCACGGCUCAACCGUGGAGGGUCAUUGGAAACUGGGGGACUUGACUACAGAAGAGAAGAGUGGAAUUCCACGUGUAGCGGUGAAAUGCGUAGAGAUGUGGAGGAACACCAGUGGCGAAGGCGACUCUUUGGUCUGUAACUGACGCUGAGGCGCGAAAGCGUGGGGAGCAAACAGG